CCUACGGGAGGCAGCAGUAGGGAAUCUUCCACAAUGGACGAAAGUCUGAUGGAGCAACGCCGCGUGAGUGAAGAAGGUUUUCGGAUCGUAAAACUCUGUUGUAAGGGAAGAACACGUGCGAGAGUAACUGCUCGUACCUUGACGGUACCUUAUUAGAAAGCCACGGCUAACUACGUGCCAGCAGCCGCGGUAAU
rnacentral:rRNA from 1 species